UAGGGAAUCUUCCGCAAUGGACGCAAGUCUGACGGAGCAACGCCGCGUGAGUGAAGAAGGAUUUCGGUUCGUAAAACUCUGUUGUUAGAGAAGAACAGCGCAUAGAGUAACUGUUAUGCGUGUGACGGUAUCUAACCAGAAAGCCACGGCUAACUACGUGCCAGCAGCCGCGGUAAUACGUAGGUGGCAAGCGUUGUCCGGAUUUAUUGGGCGUAAAGCGAGCGCAGGCGGUCAAUUAAGUCUGAUGUGAAAGCCCCCGGCUCAACCGGGGAGGGUCAUUGGAAACUGGUUGACUUGAGUGCAGAAGAGGAGAGUGGAAUUCCAUGUGUAGCGGUGAAAUGCGUAGAUAUAUGGAGGAACACCAGUGGCGAAGGCGACUCUCUGGUCUGUAACUGACGCUGAGGCUCGAAUGCGUGGGUAGCAAACAGG
rnacentral:rRNA from 1 species